rnacentral:rRNA from 1 species
ACUCAAAGGAAUAGACGGGGGCCCGCACAAGCGGCGGAGCAUGCGGCUUAAUUCGAUGCGACGCGAAGAACCUUACCUGGGCUUGACAUGCAGGGUGAAACCCGUGAAAGCGGGUGCUCUACGGAGCCUGCACAGGUGGUGCAUGGCUGUCGUCAGCUCGUGCCGUGAGGUGUUGCCUUAAGUGGCGCAACGAGCGCAACCCCUAUCCUCAGUUGCCAGCGGAUCAUGCCGGGAACUCUGGGGAGACUGCCGGUGCCAAACCGGAGGAAGGUGGGGAUGACGUCAAGUCAUCAUGCCCCUUAUGUCCAGGGCUGCACGCAUGCUACAAUGCGCAGUACAACGGGCUGCGAUCCCGCAAGGGGGAGCGAAUCCCAAAAAGCUGCGCUCAGUUCGGAUCGGGGUCUGCAACUCGACCCCGUGAAGUCGGAGUCGCUAGUAAUCGCGGAUCAGCAAUGCCGCGGUGAAUACGUUCCCGGGCCUUGUACACACCGCCCGU